AUUCCAGCUCCAAUAGCGUAUAUUAAAGUUGUUGCAGUUAAAAAGCUCGUAGUUGGAUUUCUGGCGUCGCCGCCCGGUCGGCCUCGAAAGGGGUUCGCACUCGUUGGCGCGCGUCGCCAUCCUCGGGGGAAGGCCGCCUGGCAUUAAGUUGUCGGGCGGUCGACGCUCGUCGUUUACUGUGAACAAAUUAGAGUGUUCAAAGCAGGCUUAGGCCGUUGAAUACAUUAGCAUGGAAUAAUGAGAUAGGACUUUGGUGGUCUAUUUUGUUGGUUUGCACGCCGAAGUAAUGAUUAAUAGGGGCGGUUGGGGGUAUUCGUAUUCAAUUGUCAGAGGUGAAAUUCUUGGAUUUAUGGAAGACGAACUACUGCGAAAGCAUUUACCAAGGAUGUUUUCAUCA
rnacentral:rRNA from 1 species